rnacentral:rRNA from 1 species
GUAACGGACCACCAAUCCGUCGAUGCGUAGGGGUUCUGAGAGGAAGGCCCCCCACACUGGUACUGAGACACGGACCAGACUCCUACGGGAGGCAGCAGUGAGGAAUAUUGGUCAAUGGGCGGGAGCCUGAACCAGCCAAGUCGCGUGAGGGAAGAAGGUACUGAGUAUUGUAAACCUCUUUUGCCAGGGGACAAAGGCGGCCACGGGUGGCCGUAAGAGGGUACCUGGAGAAAAAGCAUCGGCUAACUCCGUGCCAGCAGCCGCGGUAAUACGGAGGAUGCGAGCGUUAUCCGGAUUUAUUGGGUUUAAAGGGUGCGCAGGCGGCGUGUCAAGUCAGCGGUAAAAUGUCGGGGCUCAACCCCGGCCGGCCGUUGAAACUGGCGUGCUCGAGUUGGAGAGAAGUGUGCGGAAUUCGUGGUGUAGCGGUGAAAUGCAUAGAUAUCACGAAGAACCCCGAUUGCGAAGGCAGCAUACCGGCUCCACACUGACGCUGAGGCACGAAAGCGUGGGUAUCGAACAGGAUUAGAUACCCUGGUAGUCCACGCAGUAAACGAUGAAUGCUAGGUGUCCGG